rnacentral:rRNA from 1 species
GUCAAUCUGCUCAAUGAAUAUUAAAUAGCUGCAGUAUAAAUAACUGUACAAAGGUAGCAUAAUAAUUUGUCUUUUAAUUGAAGAAUAGAAUGAAAGAAUUAAUGAAAUAUAAACUGUCUCUAUUAUAUUAAAUAAAAUUAAAUUUUUAGUUAAAAUGCUAAAAUUAAAUUAUGGGACGAUAAGACCCUAUAGAAUUUAAUAUUAUUAUAAAAUUAAAUUAAUUAAUUUUUUAAUUUUAAAAAUAAUAUUUAAUUGGGAGGAUUAAUAAAUUUAUUUAACUUUAAUAUAAUUUAAACUUUGAUAUAAGAAAAUUUAAAUUGAUAGAUUAGUUAAUAUUAAUUAAUAAAUUAAAUUACCUUAGGGAUAACAGCGUAAUAUCUUUUAUUAGUUCAAAUUGAUAAAGAUGUUUGCGACCUCGAUGUUGAAUUAAGAUAAAUUUUAAAUGAAGAAAUUUAAUUAUUAAGUCUGUUCGACUUUUAAAAUCUUACAUGAUUUGAGUUC